rnacentral:rRNA from 1 species
UGAGGAAUAUUGGUCAAUGGGCGGAAGCCUGAACCAGCCAAGUAGCGUGAAGGACGACUGCCCUAUGGGUUGUAAACUUCUUUUAUGCGGGGAUAAAGUUCGCCACGUGUGGCGUUUUGCAGGUACCGCAUGAAUAAGGACCGGCUAAUUCCGUGCCAGCAGCCGCGGUAAUACGGAAGGUCCAGGCGUUAUCCGGAUUCAUUGGGUUUAAAGGGAGCGUAGGCCGCCUUUUAAGCGUGUUGUGAAAUGUAGGGGCUCAACCCCUGCACUGCAGCGCGAACUGGAGGGCUUGAGUACACACAAAGUAGGCGGAAUUCAUGGUGUAGCGGUGAAAUGCUUAGAUAUCAUGAAGAACCCCGAUUGCGAAGGCAGCUUACUGGAGUGUAACUGACGCUGAAGCUCGAAAGCGCGGGUAUCGAACA